rnacentral:rRNA from 1 species
UACGUAGGUGGCAAGCGAUACUCGGAAUCACUAGGCGUAAAGCGCAUGUAGGCGGUUUGAUAAGUCUGUUGUGAAAGCUCCCGGCUUAACUGGGAGAGGUCAACGGAAACUGUCAGGCUAGAGUGUGGUAGAGGUAGCUGGAAUUCCCGGUGUAGCGGUGAAAUGCGUAGAUAUCGGGAGGAAUACCUAUGGCGAAAGCAGGCUACUGGACCAUCACUGACGCUGAUCUGCGAAAGCUAGGGGAGCAAACAGG